rnacentral:rRNA from 1 species
GACGAACGCUGGCGGCGUGCCUAACACAUGCAAGUUGAGCGACGAACCAGGGCUUGCCCUGGGGCAAAGCAGCAAACGGGUGAGUAACACGUGGGUAACCUACCCCGAUAACCGGGACAACCCGAGGAAACUCGGGCUAAUACCGGAUGUGCUCACUGGACUUCGGUUCAGUGCGUAAAGGAAGCUUCGGCCUCCGUAUCGGGAGGGGCCCGCGGCCCAUUAGUUUGUUGGUGAGGUAACGGCUCACCAAGACCGCGAUGGGUAGCUGGUCUGAGAGGACGAUCAGCCACACUGGGACUGAGACACGGCCCAGACUCCUACGGGAGGCAGCAGUGGGGAAUCUUGCGCAAUGCGCGAAAGCGUGACGCAGCAACGCCGCGUGGGGGAAGAAGGCCUUCGGGUUGUAAACCCCUUUCAGGAGGGACGAAGGUUCGGCGGUGAAUAGCCGUCCGGACUGACGGUACCUCCACAAGAAGCCCCGGCUAACUACGUG